GAUGAACGCUGGCGGCGUGCCUAACACAUGCAAGUCGAGCGAACAGACCCUGCUCUUGUUCCUCUCACGUUAGCGGCGCACGUGUGAGUAACAUGUGUAUCAUCUCCUUAUCAGUCUGGUAUCUCUUCGGGAAUCCGGCUCUUAUACCGUAUAAUCUAUUGAACCGCAUUGUUCAAUAGUGAAAUACGGUUUUGCUGUCACUUCUCGAUGCAUCUGCGCCGCAUUAGCUAGUUGGUACGGUAACGGCUUACCACGGCAACGAUGCGUAGCCGACCUGAGAGGGUGAUCGGCCGCACUGGAGCGGAGACACGGUCAAGACUACUACGGGAGGCAGCAGUAGGGAAUGUUACGCAAUGGGCGGAAGCAUGACGGAGCAACGCGGCGUGAGUGAUGAAGAUGUUCGGAUCGUAAAAAUCGGUUAUUAGGGAAGAACAAAUGUGUAAGGAAAUAUGCACGGAGUGACGGUACCGAAUCAGAAAGCAACGGCUAACUACGUG
rnacentral:rRNA from 1 species